rnacentral:rRNA from 1 species
UACGAAGGGGGCUAGCGUUGUUCGGAAUUACUGGGCGUAAAGCGCACGUAGGCGGUUUGUUAAGUUAGGGGUGAAAUCCCAGGGCUCAACCCUGGAACUGCCUCUAAUACUGGCAAUCUCGAGUCCGAGAGAGGUGAGUGGAAUUCCGAGUGUAGAGGUGAAAUUCGUAGAUAUUCGGAGGAACACCAGUGGCGAAGGCGGCUCACUGGCUCGGUACUGACGCUGAGGUGCGAAAGCGUGGGGAGCAAACAGG